rnacentral:lncRNA from 1 species
GAGAAAUAUAUUUUUCCAUUUCCUUUAAGAUGGUAUCAAAGCUAUAUUCAUAGUUGCAUCCAUCAUCUUCAUCAAUUCAACAGUUUUUUCCUAGCUUCGAUUUUUUUUACUAUGGAAUCACCACAUUCAGAAGAAAAUUCUGGAUCGAAGUCUUUCACAAUCAAAUCUGCUAUUGACGAACCUUCUAGUCCCUACUUCCUGCAUCAUUCGGAUAACCCUGGAUUGGUGCUCGUUUCUCAGCAACUCACAGGAGAUAACUAUGCCUCCUGGAGUCGUGCGAUGACCAUAGCCUUAUCAGUCAAGAACAAGCUGUCUUUCAUUGAUGGAUCCAUUGAAAAACCAGGAGAUACAGAUCCUGAUUUAGUAAGUUCUUGGACUCGAAACAAUAAUAUGGUGAUAUCUUGGAUUCUAAAUUCAGUCUCAAAAGAGAUCUCGGCUAGUGUGAUAUAUGCAAACACAGCAUAUGAGAUCUAGAAUGAUCUCGAGGAACGAUAUCAACAAAGUAAUGGACCGCGAAUCUUCCAGCUAAGGAGAGAGCUGAUGAAUUUACUCCAGGAUCAAAGCACCGUGAGUGUGUAUUUCACUAAGCUCAAAACCGUGUGGGAAGAGUUGAGUAAUUUUCGGCACAACUGCACCUGUGGAAAAUGUACUUGUGGGGGGGGGGGUUAAGGAGUUGAAUAAACAUCAUCACAUGGAGUACAUUAUGUCAUUUCUUAUGGGAUUGAAUGACUCAUUUUCUCAAGCUCGGGGCCAGAUACUACUUAUGGAUCCUCUACCUCCUAUUAACAAAGUUUUUGCACUGAUUUCUCAAGAGAAGAAUCAGAGGAAAGUCAGUACACAAUCCAUUGGAGGUGAUUCAACUUGAGCAGCGGCCUUCGCCUUUGGAGCUGAUCAUUUCAAACCAAUUGUUCAUUCUAACCUUCACAGCAACAGUUCGAAAGCUAACAUCUCAAACAAUUUCAAAAAGAAGGAACGACCAUAUUGUAAAUAUCAUGGACAUUCUGUGGAUAAAUGCUACAAAAUCCAUGGAUAUCCACCCAGUUAUAAGGCAAAAUCAAGAGAAAAUUUCCAAAAAUUUGCACAUCUAAUUCUGUUAAUCAAUUGUCUGCCUCUGUUACUCAACAUGAUGAUGGUAAACAGGUGGAUCACCAGCUUGGCAUUGGAAAUUUUAUACAGAAUCUGAAUUCAAAUCAGUAUCAACAGCUCAUGACAAUGUUGUCCACUCACUUGGCUACUUGUGCAGAUAAUACUUCAACUAAUCAGGACAACAAUGCCUCUUCAGGUAUAUGCCAUUCUAUAUCAGUCAAUUCUGCUUUCGCAUCUAAAGGUUUAUGGAUAGUUGAUUCAGGUGCCACCCAACAUGUGUGCUGCAUGGCUGAUGCUUUUGUAAACCUGAGAACUAUUGAUAAUUCAAGCAUCACUUUACCUAAUCACACACAAAUACCACUCAAUCUUUGUGGAGGUAUCAGACUAAGUUCAAAACUGAUGUUGCAUGAUGUUCUAUUUGUUCCCCAAUUUAAGUCAAUUUGCUGUCCGUCAGUG